UCGAGCCGUGGGCUUCCCACUAGGUCCCGGAAGGAGCUUUCAAAUCUGGGGCGGAUCUCUGAUCGCCCGCAAGUGAUGGGCUACGGGGCCGGUGGGUGGUCUGCGUGCGGAGGGUCGGAGCUUCCCGCAGAGCCCGCCGUGCCGCGAGGGAUGGGACGCUGCCUGGUGGUUGCGGCGGGUACCACCUCCGUUGGCACGGACGCCAAUCUCGGAUACCGUCGUGGAGACGAGACGUAGCGAAGGCCUGGAGGUUAAUCUCCUGGAGCGGCAAAUAGAGACAGCUAAAGAAGAGUCACUGAACCAGUUAGGAGACUAUUGCAGUCAUCCCAGCAAGAGAUGAUAACGUGGACUUGGGACGUGGCAGAGCUGAUACAGAAAACUGGAAGAUUUCAGAGGUCAUGGAAGAGCCAGCAUGUGGGGGAACUUUAUUCCUAUGUCCAAAUAUGAAAUCUGUUCAGAUGUAGCUUCCUUCUCCUUCAAUUUUUGUAAGCAAAUUUGAUUAAGUGUUUGAGAACUGCAGAAAUGAAAAGUGGAACACAGUCUGCCACUGCUAAUUCGCAGCUCUGUGAUAUUGGGCAAACCA